rnacentral:rRNA from 2 species
GGGGGGGCAGCUUACCAUGCAGUCGAGCGGUAACAGGAGAAGCUUGCUUCUCGCUGACGAGCGGCGGACGGGUGAGUAAUACUUAGGAAUCUACCUAGUAGUGGGGGAUAGCACGGGGAAACUCGUAUUAAUACCGCAUACGACCUACGGGAGAAAGGGGGCAGUUUACUGCUCUCGCUAUUAGAUGAGCCUAAGUCGGAUUAGCUAGAUGGUGGGGUAAAGGCCUACCAUGGCGACGAUCUGUAGCUGGUCUGAGAGGAUGAUCAGCCACACCGGGACUGAGACACGGCCCGGACUCCUACGGGAGGCAGCAGUGGGGAAUAUUGGACAAUGGGGGAAACCCUGAUCCAGCCAUGCCGCGUGUGUGAAGAAGGCCUUUUGGUUGUAAAGCACUUUAAGCAGUGAAGAAGACUCCAUGGUUAAUACCCAUGGACGAUGACAUUAGCUGCAGAAUAAGCACCGGCUAACUCUGUGCCAGCAGCCGCGGUAAUACAGAGGGUGCAAGCGUUAAUCGGAAUUACUGGGCGUAAAGGGAGCGUAGGUGGCUCUAUAAGUCAGAUGUGAAAUCCCCGGGCUUAACCUGGGAACUGCAUCUGAAACUGUAGAGCUAGAGUAUGUGAGAGGAAGGUAGAAUUCCAGGUGUAGCGGUGAAAUGCGUAGAGAUCUGGAGGAAUACCGAUGGCGAAGGCAGCCUUCUGGCAUAAUACUGACACUGAGGCUCGAAAGCGUGGGUAGCAAACAGGAUUAGAUACCCUGGUAGUCCACGCCGUAAACGAUGUCUACUAGUCGUUGGGUCCCUUGAGGACUUAGUGACGCAGCUAACGCAAUAAGUAGACCGCCUGGGGAGUACGGCCGCAAGGUUAAAACUCAAAUGAAUUGACGGGGGCCCGCACAAGCGGUGGAGCAUGUGGUUUAAUUCGAUGCAACGCGAAGAACCUUACCUGGUCUUGACAUAUCUAGAAUCCUGCAGAGAUGCGGGAGUGCCUUCGGGAUUAGAAUACAGGUGCUGCAUGGGCUGUCGUCAGCUCGUGUCGUGAGAUGUUGG